UGAAAAGAAAAGUGAAAUCAGAUGGUCUCAGUCCUGUCCCUUCUUUCCCAGCAUCUACAUCAAUCCUGUGUAGACGGGAUUCUUCCCACUCAACAGGUGAGGUGAUGAGAAGUCACCUACACCCAGAUGAAGCCUUGGGACGGUGGUCAGCCCAGAACCAUGGUUCACCUUAGAACAAACCUCAUCUUGGCUCUGUCAUCGUCAUGAGAGAAGUCACACCGGGCUGUGCCAUUCGCGCUCUCCACUGCAGAGCAAUGGAAGGGGAGCUAACAAGGACGUGGCAGAGGUGGCAGUCAGGUGCGCCGCACUCGGGAUGCCCGGGGUAUGGAUUGGUACUACUCUGGAAAAUCACCUGCGGAGUCCGACCGUGCAGAUAAGAAACUGAGGCAGAGAGGGAAGAAAGGUUGAUGAAGGAGUCACCAGUGAGUCAUCAUCUCAGGCUGCGACAUGAAGAUUUUUAGAAGAAAAGCCAGUGGGCUCCCAGUCAAAGUUAAAAAGCUGGAGGUAUCUCCUGUGAACAUUUGGGUCUCCUGCAACCACAGCAGUCCCCCCCUCCCCCACCACCGCCACUGCCACCGCUGCCUGCACCUGCUUUGGG